rnacentral:sRNA from 2 species
GUCCGGAACCCGACACUUCGAGGGACAGAGGCGGGGGACCCACCAUCCCCUAGGGAUACGGAGAAAUACGCGACACCACGCGUGUGGCUCCUUGGGGUAAAGCCAAGCGGUACCGAUCACGGUGAGGCAUGGCCGGACGAACUCUCAGUCCGAACCCGACAGCUUACUUCGCAGGCGCACACACGAGAGGAACC